rnacentral:rRNA from 1 species
ACGGAGGGUGCGAGCGUUAUCCGGAAUCAUUGGGUUUAAAGGGUACGUAGGCGGACUAGUAAGUCGGAUGUGAAAGCCCUCGGCUUAACUGGAGAACUGCAUUCGAUACUGCAAUUCUUGAGUGUCGUAGAGGGAGGCGGAAUUCCAGGUGUAGUGGUUAAAUACGUAGAUAUCGAGAGGAACACCAGUGGCGAAGGCGGCCUUCUGGACCACAACUGACGCUGAGGCGCGAAAGCGUGGGGAUCAAACAG